rnacentral:lncRNA from 1 species
AAGUGGCGAAGCCAGAAGAGAUGAAGCUGACAAUGGUGGCGUGUUUCUUGCGUCAGUGGGUGUAACAUGUGAAAUAUUUUCUUUCCGAGAAUACGAGGAGUAUGGGUAUAAAAAACUAAGCUUAAAAGCUCAGGGGCGUCAGCGGUUUAAAAUAUUAAGCAAGAGCUCUCAGCUAGAUGGGGUAAUAAUGGGUACAGUUGAAAUUCUUCCAGAAACUAUUUAUUCUCACCCUCCCUCAUCAUUAGUUUAUACAAUAUAUCAGCAUCCCAGUUCAAUAAGAAGUCAAGUAAUUGCCAAUUGCUGUUAUUUAGAAAAAAGCUUGUUGAAAAAUAAUGAACAACGAUAUAUGGCUGGCUUCCAGAGAAGAACAGUUGGAAAAUUAUGUUCAAGUCUUACGCACCUUCCUGGAUGGGUGUAUAAGUUUUACAACUCA